UACGGAGGGUGCAAGCGUUGCUCGGAAUUAUUGGGCGUAAAGGGCAGGUAGGUGGUCUCAUUUGUCUGGGGUGAAAUCCCGGGGCUUAACUCCGGAAGUGCCUCAGAAACGGUGAGACUCGAGUAUUGGAGAGGGUGGUGGAAUUCCCGGUGUAGCGGUGAAAUGCGUAGAGAUCGGGAGGAACACCAGAGGCGAAGGCGGCCACCUGGACAAUGACUGACACUCAACUGCGAAAGCGUGGGGAGCAAACAGG
rnacentral:misc_RNA from 1 species